rnacentral:rRNA from 1 species
AGGACGAACGCUGGCGGCGUGCCUAACACAUGCAAGUCGAGCGAGGAGAUCCUUCGGGAUGAUCCUAGCGGCGGACGGGUGAGUAACACGUGGGCAACCUGCCUCAUAGAGAGGAAUAGCCUUCCGAAAGGGAGGUUAAUACCUCAUAACAUUGCAGUUUCGCAUGGAACAGCAAUUAAGGAGCAAUCCGCUAUGAGAUGGGCCCGCGGCGCAUUAGCUAGUUGGUGAGGUAACGGCUCACCAAGGCGACGAUGCGUAGCCGACCUGAGAGGGUGAUCGGCCACAUUGGGACUGAGACACGGCCCAGACUCCUACGGGAGGCAGCAGUGGGGAAUAUUGCACAAUGGGGGAAACCCUGAUGCCAGCAACGCCGCGUGAGUGAUGACGGCCUUCGGGUUGUAAAGCUCUGUCUUCAGGGACGAUAAUGACGGUACCUGAGGAGGAAGCCACGGCUAACUACGUGCCAGCCGCCGC